rnacentral:rRNA from 1 species
UACGCUUCUUUUUCCACCGGAGCUUGCUCCACCGGAAAAAGAAGAGUGGCGAACGGGUGAGUAACACGUGGGUAACCUGCCCAUCAGAAGGGGAUAACACUUGGAAACAGGUGCUAAUACCGUAUAACAAUCGAAACCGCAUGGUUUUGAUUUGAAAGGUUUCCGCCUUUCAGUGGUGUCGCUGAUGGAUUAAGGACUCCGCCUGGGGUGCAUUACCGCUAGUUGGUGAGGUAACGGAAUCACCAAGGCCACGAUGCAUAGCCGACCUGAGAGGGUGAUCGGCCACAUUGGGACUGAGACACGGCCCAAACUCCUACGGGAGGCAGCAGUAGGGAAUCUUCGAGCAAUUUGGACGAUAGAGUCUCGACUUCGGGAGCAAAGCGCCGCGUGAGUGCAAGAAGGUCGUCAGUUCGGAUCGUAAAACUCUGUUGUUAGAGAAGAACAAGGAUGAGAGUAACUGUUCAUCCCUUGACGGUAUCUAACCAGAAAGCCACGGCUAACUACGUGCCAGCAGCCGCGGUAAUACGUAGGUGGCAAGCGUUGUCGUCGGAUCUUAUUGGGCGUAAAGCGAGCGCAGGCGGUUUCUUACGAGUUCUGAUGUGAAAGCCCCCGAGCUGGCAACCGGGGAGGGUCAGUUGGAAACUGGGAGUUUACUUGAGUGCAGAAGAGGAGAGUGCAAUUCGCAUGCAUGUAGCGGUGAAAUGCGUUAGAUAUAUGGAGGAACACCACGCCGUGGCGAAGGCGUUCGCGUCUCUGGUCUGUAACUGACGCUGACGGCUCGAAAGCGUGGGGAGCAAACAGGAUUAGAUACCCUGGUAGUCCACGCCGUAAACGAUGAGUGCUAAGUGUUGGAGGGUUUCCGCCCUUCAGUGCUGCAGCUAACG